UACGGAGGGUGCAAGCGUUAUCCGGAUUUACUGGGUUUAAAGGGUGCGUAGGUGGGUCUGUAAGUCAGUGGUGAAAUCUCCGAGCUUAACUCGGAAACUGCCAUUGAUACUAUAGAUCUUGAAUUAUCUGGAGGUAAGCGGAAUAUGUCAUGUAGCGGUGAAAUGCUUAGAUAUGACAUAGAACACCAAUUGCGAAGGCAGCUUACUACGGAUCGAUUGACACUGAGGCACGAAAGCGUGUGGAUCAAACAGG
rnacentral:rRNA from 1 species